rnacentral:rRNA from 1 species
UACGUAGGGGGCGAGCGUUGUCCGGAUUUAUUGGGCGUAAAGAGCUCGUAGGCGGUUUGUCGCGUCUGCUGUGAAAGACCGGGGCUCAACUCCGGUUCUGCAGUGGGUACGGGCAGACUAGAGUGCAGUAGGGGGAGACUGGAAUUCCUGGUGUAGCGGUGAAAUGCGCAGAUAUCAGGAGGAACACCGAUGGUGAAGGCAGGUCUCUGGGCUGUAACUGACGCUGAGGAGCGAAAGCAUGGGGAGCGAACAGG